rnacentral:lncRNA from 1 species
GGUUGAAAAAUAGGCUUGAAAAAUCCUCUCUUUGAAUACUCUUGAAUGCCCUUUUGAAUACUCUUGCUUUUCUCUUUCACAAUCUCUCGUGUAUAUUGUAGAUCUCUUGUCUCUCUCGUGUGGAUUGUGGAUCCCCUCUCUUUUUCUUUUGUGUAUUUCGUUGAUCUCCUCGUGUAUAUUUUGGAUCCUCUGUAUUUCCUGUAUUUUCACCUUUUGAAACCUUUUAUAGCAUUAAGAAACAAGAGAAAACAUAUUAGGCAGAAAAAGAGCCGUUAGAGCAUUUUUAGGAAGCAUAAAAGGCAAUUAAAAUGGGCAAAAAACUAGCCGUUGCGG